CUUGAUUUUGGUUCCAAUUAUUUGUCGUCUCUGUUGUAUUAUUUCAAUGAGCUGGUCACAUUCUUCCAUCAGCUUGGUUUCUUGGCGAGAUGCAUUUACUUCUACAUGUUGACAGGUCUGAAUGAGUUUUGCCAGAAGAGUUUCCAGUUCAGUAUUCCUCUUAAUAAGGUUGGUGAGGUUACUCUCCAAAUUUUGCUUCAGCUUGUCGUAGCGCUCGCUUAGAGCUGCCACUUGAU
rnacentral:lncRNA from 1 species